rnacentral:rRNA from 1 species
AAAUUGAAGAGUUUGAUCAUGGCUCAGAUUGAACGCUGGCGGCAGGCCUAACACAUGCAAGUCGAGCGGCAGCGGGAAGUAGUUUACUACUU